rnacentral:rRNA from 1 species
UACGUAGGCAGCAAGCGUUGUUCGGAGUUACUGGGCGUAAAGGGUGCGUAGGCGGUUGUUUAAGUUUGGUGUGAAAUCUCCCAGCUCAACCGGGAGGGUGCGCCGAAUACUGAAUGACUAGAGUGCGGGAGAGGAGAGUGGAAUUCCUGGUGUAGCGGUGAAAUGCGUAGAUAUCAGGAGGAACACCGGUGGUGUAGACGGCUCUCUGGACCGUAACUGGCGGUGAGGCCCGAAAGCGUGGGUAGCAAACAGG